rnacentral:rRNA from 1 species
AUCCUACGGGGCGCAGCAGUGAGGAAUAUUGGUCAAUGGCCGAGAGGCUGAACCAGCCAAGUCGCGUGAGGGAUGACGGCCCUACGGGCUGUAAACCUCUUUUGUCGGGGAGCAAGGAGAGUCACGUGUGACUCAUUGAGAGUACCCGAAGAAAAAGCAUCGGCUAACUCCGUGCCAGCAGCCGCGGUAAUACGGAGGAUGCGAGCGUUAUCCGGAUUUAUUGGGUUUAAAGGGUGCGCAGGCGGAGGUGCAAGUCAGCGGGCAAAUUGCGGGGCUCAACCCCGUACUGCCGUUGAAACUGCAUC